GGCAGACGGGUGAGUAACACGUGGAUGACCUGCCUCGAGGUGGGGGAUAACCCGGGGAAACUCGGGCUAAUACCGCAUAACAUCGAAAGAUCAAAGGGGGGCGAAAGCCUCUCGCCGUGAGAGGGGUCCGCGUCCGAUUAGCUAGUUGGUGAGGUAACGGCUCACCAAGGCGACGAUCGGUAGCCGGCCUGAGAGGGCGAUCGGCCACACUGGAACUGAGACACGGUCCAGACUCCUACGGGAGGCAGCAGUGGGGAAUUUUGCGCAAUGGGGGAAACCCUGACGCAGCAACGCCGCGUGGAGGAUGAAGGUCCUUGGAUUGUAAACUCCUGUCAGCAGGGAAGAAGUCCUUACGGUGAAUAACCGUAAGGAUUGACGGUACCUGCAGAGGAAGCCCCGGCUAACUCUGUGCCAGCAGCCGCGGUAAUACAGAGGGGGCAAGCGUUAUUCGGAAUUAUUGGGCGUAAAGGGCGCGUAGGCGGCUUCGCAAGUGGUUGGUGAAAUCCCUCGGCUUAACUGAGGAACUGCCCUCCAAACUGCGUUGCUUGAGUCCGGGAGAGGUGAGUGGAAUUCCCAGUGUAGCGGUGAAAUGCGUAGAUAUUGGGAGGAACACCAGUGGCGAAGGCGGCUCACUGGACCGGAACCGACGCUGAGGCGCGAAAGCGUGGGGAGCAAACGGCAUUAGAUACCCCGGUAGUCC
rnacentral:rRNA from 1 species